UACAGAGGGGGCAAGCGUUGCUCGGAAUUACUGGGCGUAAAGGGCGCGUAGGCGGCCGCCUAAGUCAGACGUGAAAUCCCUCGGCUCAACCGGGGAACUGCGUCUGAUACUGGGCGGCUUGAAUCCGGGAGAGGGAUGUGGAAUUCCAGGUGUAGCGGUGAAAUGCGUAGAUAAUCUGGAGGAACACCGGUGGCGAAGGC
rnacentral:rRNA from 1 species